CUGGUGAGCAAAGGUCACCGCUCAGGUCCCCAGCCUGGGCUCCUGCUCCGAGGGCCUGCAGCUGAGGAAAGAGGAGCCCGCACAGCACCAGGCAGAUGGCAGGGAUGGGUCCCCCAGGCCUAGCCAUGGCCAUCCUGCUGGGGCUGGUGGGGGCCACCCUGGCAUCUGAGAAUGGGACAGGAAUCUGCCAGCCAGCCCCAAAGUGGCAAGUGGACGGAGGCACAUCCCCCAUGGAGGAAGCCCUGGGCCAAGUGACAGUGGUGGCCCUCCUGAAGGCCAGCUGACACUUCUGUCUCAAGCAAGCUGCCAGCAUAGGCAACUUGCAGGAGCGCCUGGCCCGCGUGGGUGCUGCCGGUGUUCGCUUCAUCAUAGUCAAUGAGAAGUCGCCUCUGUCCCAGGCCCUGCAUGGAGAGCUGGAACUCCACGCACCCCCGGGCAUACCCGUCUACCGCCAGCAAGGGCCUGGCCCUGACAUCUGGAGCAUCCUUGGGGGCACCAAGGAUGACUUCCUUGUCUAUGACAGGUGUGGCCGCCUGACAUUCCACGUCCAGCUGCCCUUUAGUUUCCUGCACUUCCCCUACGUGGAAUCGGCCAUUCGAUUCACCCACUGGCAAGAUCACUGUGGGAACUGUUCUUUCUACUCCACCCAGGUGAACAGCACAGACGAGGGGAAGGCUGAGUCGCCCACUCAGUCCCCUAGCCUAGAAGGAGAAGGGCAGGAGCCCCUGGCUGAGGGGCCCAGCACCCACAGGCCGACUCUGUUGUCUAGCACCCUUCACACAGCCCACGCCCAUGGUCCUGUCCACAGCCACGGCAAAAGGCCAUCACUUGGCCACAGUCUAGAGCAGCCCCCCAAGGAAGAGGCCACUGGAUAACCCUCCCAUGGCCAUGGUCACGGCCAGGUCCCCACUCCACAGGCUGGCCCCAAGAGGGCCACCAACCUCACUCCCAACCUCAUCCUCUGUCAAUCUGGCCCAUUUCAGAGAGAGGAAAAACUGAGGUGUCCCUGGGGUCAAGGUCACCGUGGAACAAACCCAUCUGUCUCCAUCAAGACUGCGCCCUGCUUGCCUGUGGUGUUGGCUAGCUUUGCAUUUCACCCGCUGCCCUUUCCUCCCUCAAUUAAUGAUGCCCACAGUGAAACCCGGAGAUCCGGCCAUGGUGGGCUGAUGCCGUGUAGAGUGGGGGAAUGAGGAAGAGGCUCCAUUGUCCAUACCCAGGCAUGACUGCAAGCCAAGAUGGGGGUGCUCAGAGGAGUGGAGGGCUUGGAGAAAUGGUCAAUAAACUUCUCUCCCCAGA